rnacentral:tRNA from 1 species
GGGGCCAGCGCUGGGCGCAGCCAUCCUUUGCAAGGAAGGCGGGCGGGGUUCGAUUCCCCGUGACUCCACCA